CCCGUGGCAAGACGGAAAGACCCCGUGAACCUUUACUAUAGCUUUACACUGAACGUUGAGUUCGUCUGUGUAGGAUAGGUGGGAGGCUAUGAAACUGUGGCGCUAGCUGCAGUGGAGCCAUCCUUGAAAUACCACCCUGUCGUGCUUGACGUUCUAACCUAGGUCCGUUAUCCGGAUCAGGGACCGUGUAUGGUGGGUAGUUUGACUGGGGCGGUCUCCUCCUAAAGAGUAACGGAGGAGCACGAAGGUACGCUCAGCGCGGUCGGACAUCGCGCACUGUGUGCAAAGGCAUAAGCGUGCUUGACUGCAAGAUCGACGGAUCAAGCAGGUACGAAAGUAGGUCUUAGUGAUCCGGUGGUUCUGUAUGGAAGGGCCAUCGCUCAACGGAUAAAAGGUACUCCGGGGAUAACAGGCUGAUACCGCCCAAGAGUUCAUAUCGACGGCGGUGUUUGGCACCUCGAUGUCGGCUCAUCACAUCCUGGGGCUGUAGUCGGUCCCAAGGGUAUGGCUGUUCGCCAUUUAAAGUGGUACGCGAGCUGGGUUCAGAACGUCGUGAGACAGUUCGGUCCCUAUCUGCCAUGGGCGUUGGAAGUUUGAGAGGGGCUGCUCCUAGUACGAGAGGACCGGAGUGGACGAACCUCUGGUGUUCCGGUUGUCACGCCAGUGGCAUUGCCGGGUAGCUAUGUUCGGAAGCGAUAACCGCUGAAAGCAUCUAAGCGGGAAGCGCGCCUCAAGAUGAGACUUCCCGGGGCACAAGCCCCCUAAAGGAACCAUGUAGACUACGUGGUUGAUAGGUCAGGUGUGUAAGUACAGCAAUGUAUUGAGCUAACUGAUACUAAUGAUCCGUGCGGCUUGACCAUAUAACCUCA
rnacentral:rRNA from 1 species